rnacentral:rRNA from 1 species
GCCCGCUCAGAAACUUAAAGGAAGUUGACGGGGCCCGCACAAGCGGUGGAGUAUGUGGUUUAAUUCGAUGCAACGCGAAGAACCUUACCUGGUCUUGACAUCCCGGAGACCCUUAGGAAACUAGGGGGUGCUUCCAUCUGGAAGAAUCUGGAGACAGGUGCUGCAUGGCUGUCGUCAGCUCGUGUCGUGAGAUGUUGGGUUAAGUCCUGCAACGAGCGCAACCCUUGCCUUUAGUUGCCAGCAGUUCGGCUGGGCACUCUAAAGGGACUGCCGGUGUUAAACCGGAGGAAGGUGGGGAUGACGUCAAGUCCUCAUGGCCUUUAUGACCAGGGCUACACACGUACUACAAUGGCCGAUACAAAGGGCAGCGACACUGCGAGGUGAAGCCAAUCCCGUAAAAUCGGUCUCAGUCCGGAUUGGAGUCUGCAACUCGACUCCAUGAAGUUGGAAUCGCUAGUAAUCGUGGAUCAGCAUGCCACGGUGAAUACGUUCCCGGGCCUU